rnacentral:rRNA from 1 species
GAAAUCAGUUCAGCACUAAGUCACUUUGUCUAUAUGGCAAAUGUGAGAUGCAGUGUAUGGAACAUCAAUAUUCUAGUAUGAGAAAUUAACGAUUUAAGUCCUUCUUAAAUGAGGCCAUUUACCCAUAGAGGGUGCCAGGCCCGUAUAACGUUAAUGAUUAUUAGAUGGUGUUUCCAAAGAGUCGUGUUGCUUGAUAGUGCAGCACUAAGUGGGUGGUAAACUCCAUCUAAAACUAAAUAUAACCAUGAGACCGAUAGUAAACAAGUACCGUGAGGGAAAGUUGAAAAGAACUCUGAAUAGAGAGUUAAAUAGUACGUGAAACUGCUUAGAGGUUAAGCCCGAUGAACCUGAAUAUCCGUUAUGGAAAAUUCAUCAUUAGACUUGUAAUAUUUUAACAAUAUUAUAAUAAUAGUGUGCAUUUUUUCCAUAUAAGGACAUUGUAAUCUAUUAGUAUCAAUAAUUUAUCAAAAAAUUUUAGAUAAGUGCUUAUUUAAAUUAGAAUGCUUGCAUUUUAACAUAAAAUAAAUGUCAUAAAUUUGAUAAAGUGCUGAUAGAUUUAUAUGAGUACAGUGCGUUAAUUUUUCGGAAUUAUAUAAUGGCAUGAUUAUCAUUGAUUUUUGUGUUUAUUAUAUGCACUUGUAUGAUUAACAAUGCGAAAGA